UUUGCCUCCCAGUGAAAUUUUGCUUCUUCUUUAUCUCUCGCACAAAGUCUCUCUCUCGGCAAACUGUCUCUCAAAACUCUUGGCCAAAAUUUUGCUUUCCCGCAGAGUUUUUCCUGUUGAAUCUCUCCGCAAUCAAACUACCCUUACUUUCCCAUUGAAGGUUUAGGUUCGUCAAAACCAGAAAAUGGAACAACAUGACAUUGAAGAGGACGAGUUCGGAUUCUCCAGAAAUUAUUUCUUAGCAAACGAAUUAGGCAAUUCCGGUAAGAAAUCCAGCCGCAUGCUCGCAGAUAUCGAUGUCGUCGAUGAACAGGAGCUAAGGGAAGCCCUCGCCCAUCUCCCCAACAUUUCUAAUUUCCAAAUUGGUGUCCGACGAAAAUUAGGGCUCUGAGUCUGAGAGAGACCCUAGAUUUGGGGCAGUUAUUCUUUCUUCGAUUUCAACGAUUAGCAGCAAAUGUCGCCUCCUCCUGGACCCUACUCCGGCACCAGCACUCUCGCCUUGGUGGCUCGUGCUUCAGCCUUCAUGUUUGGAGUCGUCUAUGGAAAUCUGAAGCUUAAGUAUCUUAAGAGGAAAGCUUUCAAUGGAGAGCUCUGAUGAUGGAAAGAAUGGUCCUCUGGAUGCCAGGGAGCAUUCUCUAACAUCUGAUGGCAAAAAAUCCAUAAACGAAGUUCUUAAUGGUCCAAAUGGCCUUUGCUCGUAGAACUUACACAUGGAUAGGCACAUGUUUUAUGUAUUGUGUGACAUGUUACAAGCCAGAGGCCUCUUAUGUCACACAAUUAGAAUAAAGAUUGAGGAGCAGGCAGUGAUUGAUCAUGUUUAUAGUUGGGCACAGGAUAUGUACUCGAGCAGUUCAAGAGCUAUUUGGAUACUCAGGCGAAACCAUUAGCUGCCAUUUCAACAAUGUUCUAACAACAAUUAUGGCAAUUUCACGGGAUGUUUUUCCACCUCCUAGGCCUGAUGUUCCACCAGAAUUUGUGAAGAUCCUCAAUUUAUCCUCAUUUUCAGUAGGAUUGGAUGAGCAAGUUCCUUUCUGGAACAAGAGUGGUUUUCUUUCACAAAAUGUACGGGCUGUAUGCUCCUUCAGUAUGAAAUUUCACUAUGUUCUUGCUGGUUGGGAAGGUUCCAUCAAAAUGUACAAUCAGCACUAGUGCAAAACUUCACCAGUUAAAACUAGCAACUUCAAAGAACUACGAAGUCCCAUAUAAUGUGGACCUUGCAAAGGAAGGAGGACUGCUCUCAAUAGUGAUGGAACUGCAAGUAGGAAAUUGCAGUACAUAGUUAUGUCCAAUAUCUAUAAUUUUUUCCAUCGCAUUUGAUAGACCAAAGGCUAUAUUUCUAGCAUGACAUGAUUUCCAGUAGGUUGAAUUGCUUGAACGCAAACUAUUUCCUGGGGUGUUAUUAUAUUAUUAUUGUUGCAAUUUUUUUCCUAUCAUUUUCCAAUCUCAAAUGCUCAAGAAUUGGAAAAAAAAUUUCUGUUUCCCCAGAUCACUGGAUACACUUUUCUUCAUCCCUUCAAUUUCUCGGCUGUUUUCUCUUCUUCUGAAGGAUUGGCACUAACCUCUACUAAAGCAUAGCCGGACUGCUCCACCUAGAGAUGGCUGAAGGAAGUGGAAAUGAGGAGACAACUCUUGAGCAUACAUCAACAUGGGCAGUGGUAGUUGUUUGUUUCAUCUUGAUUGCUGUUUCCAUACUUAUUGAACAUGGUCUUCAUCUUCUGGCUAAGUGUUUGGACAGGUGGGAGUAUAUUGGCGGCACUUGGUUCCUUUCAGCAAAUGUGGUUUUCAAAAUCUGAGUUUGAGGAACAUGGAACUUCUUAUGUUCAAAGAAAAUGCCCGUAAAGUACUUUACUGGUGCAAACAAUUAUCACAUUAGACAGAAAUUCAUGGAGCUGACUUCACUUUGAUUAGUUUGCUGACGGUAUGGGUUGCUCGGUUUUAAUAUCCUGCUUUAUAGGAGCCCAAACAAUGUACUAUAUAUAUACUAUACCUCUCGCGGAUCGUUGCUAAUAUUGUACAAUUACGUUACCUGACUUUUAGCAUUUCUUUCAACUUGUUAGGGAUGAGAGUCUUUUUGUUUGUGCACAAGAAAGUCUUUCAAGUUAUUGUAAAUGAGAAUCUUUCGGUACUUUAUUGGGAUUUUAGUACUUGCUUUGAGCACUUGUUUGCGAUUUUAGUAA